rnacentral:rRNA from 1 species
GGCCUACCAUGGUGGUAACGGGUAACGGGGUGUUAGGGCACGACACCGGAGAGGGAGCCUGAGAAACGGCUACCACAUCCAAGGAUGGCAGCAGGCGCGCAAAUUACCCAAUCCCGACACGGGGAGGUAGUGACAAUAAAUAACAAUACGGGGUUCUUUCGGAUCUCGUAAUUGGAAUGAGUACAAUUUAAAUCUCUUAACGAGGAACAAUUGGAGGGCAAGUCUGGUGCCAGCAGCCGCGGUAAUUCCAGCUCCAAUAGCGUAUAUUAAAGUUGUUGCAGUUAAAAAGCUCGUAGUUGAAUCUCGAGAUCAAAUUGUUGGUCGUGCCUCGGUACGUACUGGCAUUAUUGAUUUCUCCCUUCUGAAGAACCUUGAUGUCAUUAAUUUGGUGUCUUGGGGAAUCAGGACCGUUACUUUGAAAAAAUUAGAGUGUUUAAAGCAGGCUCACGCUUGAAUACAUUAGCAUGGAAUAAUGAAAUAGGACGUUUGAUUCUAUUUUGUUGGUUUCUAGGAUCGACGUAAUGAUUAAUAGGGAUAGUUGGGGGCAUUAGUAUUCAAUUGUCAGAGGUGAAAUUCUUGGAUUUAUUGAAGACUAACUACUGCGAAAGCAUUUGCCAAGGAUGUUUUCAUUAAUCAAGAACGAAAGUUAGGGGAUCGAAGACGAUCAGAUACCGUCGUAGUCUUAACCAUAAACUAUGCCGACUAGGGAUCGGAUGAUGUUAAUUUUUUAAUGACUCAUUCGGCGCCUUACG